rnacentral:lncRNA from 1 species
ACGAGCUCAAACUCAUAGGGCGGGUUGGUGAUGACAUACCUGGACAGGGAAAGCAGAGAUGUCACCUCCUGAGAGUAACUGAGUAAAGAAUUCAACUCUCUCUGAACCAAAAGCAAUGGCCUGGUUACUCAGGACUUUCAGAGGAUCUGGAAGAUGCACUCCUAGCUGGUCUGAGGCCUUAAACAUUCUUUUUCUUGUUAAAUGGAAACUUCCUCUGUUUAACUCAAUAAAGGAGGCCAGCCAGGAGCCCAGGCAGAGAUGUGGAAUUAGAGCCAGUAAUGGAAGAACCAAACUUCGCUUCUCGUGGUCUACAUGUACCUUUCUAUACAAGGUCAAAGUCACUUUCAAGUAGCCCAACCGCAAGAGGUUUCAUGAAGUGUGAUGCAACUUUCAUUUCAUAAUUUUCGGACAAUCCCAGAUAUACAUCACAAGAUCUUUGUUUACCAUGACAGAGUGUCUCCUUAGACUAUUCUCGCUCUUUACCUUUUAAAAUCUACUUUGGUGAGAGAAUUUGGAAUUUGGAAUUCACCACAUGGAAGAAUCUAAGAAACCUGCCUACUUAUCAGCACUACUUUGUUGUUCUUCACAAUUAGUUGGAGCUUUCUUUGGUCAACAGCAGAUGUGACUAAGAAAAUCACGCUGUUUCACUUAGAGCAGUGGUCACCAAGUGUGGUCCUUAGGCCACACAGGUCAGCAUCACCUAGGAACUAGGAAAUGCAAGUUCUUAAGCAAUCCCACCCAGACCUACUGAAUUGGAAGUGCUGAGGAUGGGGUCCAGCAAUCUGUGGUUGAACAAGCUCUGCAGGCAUCCAGGAGCAGAGCUGUGGGGCAGCAGAAUCUGUGAUGACAGAGAAUGAUGAUGUAUUUUUGCCAGCAGAUGCUUUUGCUCCUGUUUUGAUACCCCAAUAUUCGGAUGCAGAAAAGGACUCUGAGCAUUGCUGACGGGUGUGCUCUGCACACCUAUCUCUUCAGGAUCUGAAUAAUUUGGUGGAAAGACAAUGCCUUUUCUGGAAAAGGGUGUCAGGAGUUACCUUUCAUGGAAGGGUAAGCAGGAAGCAACUACAAGAUCAUCAUUUCAAAACAAUAUGAAAGCAGAAUGGGAAAUGCCAUGGCAUGCUCCCUCUUUUCAGGCAAUAUGGACACUUUGGGGAAGUUAUGAAGCGUCUCCCAUUCCCGCUUGAGGUACUCAAUAGAGCCCACAAACACAAUGUGCUUGAGCUCAUGGUAAUGAAAGUUGCUGGCACGGAGCGGCAUCACCAGGUUCCGGAGGCCGAUCAGGGCUGAGCUGACGUCGCCAAAGAUGCAGACCACGACAUGGCCACUCAGGACGGUCAUGGCAGCUUCACUUCGAGUCUACAACAGGGAGAAGUGGGUAAGAGUCAGAGAGAAGACUGCAUAGGGCUGUUGUAAGGAGUGAAAUAAAUCAUUUGUGCAAAGAAUCAAGCAAAUAUUUGCUGAGAGCUUACUAUGUGCUAUUAUUUUUAUUUCAUCAAUGUUAUA